CGACACGAUUUCCCCAAUUUAGGAGUUAAAACAAUGGCUAAACAAACACGCGUGCGUAUGAAAAAAUGUACCUUCAUACUAUUAAUUAAAAUCUCAUCAGACCCACAGAACAACAUGUUGCCAAUCCGAUAGCUACUAGUAAGUGAAAUGGAGAUGGAAACGAUGUUAUUCCACAAGAACUGCAGCUCAGUACUGUUCAGCGAGUAGGCGUGGCGCGACCUCGAGCCCAGUGCUCUCACAGACGGGGAGAGAGAGGCUUAGGCAAGAAAAGAGAGAGGGGAGGGUCGAAGCUGCAUUGUGGGUCUGUGCUUUGGGCACGUAUAGACACGGACGCCCCCUGGUGGAGGUAUCGGUACAGUGCAUUCAAAGACACAGACCAGAGGUGGAUGCUGCACAGCGGCGCAGUGGGCUGGCUCUUGCGGUCAGUGGUCCAUCCCCUCGGAGGCCAGUGAUGGACAGAAGGAAGCAAAGCUACAUGGAGUUACAGAAGCAAGAGAGAGACUGAGGGCGUCACUGACUGGGGGGUGGGGGGUGCACACAGGCUCCUCUGCAGUAUUUUACACAGGGGGCGGAGUGGAGUGGAGGCAACAGACCUCAGGCCUUACUUGCCUUGCUGACGUCGGGAGAGCGCACGCGGGCCCCCUCGGCUUCGCUAAAGGCCACGUUGACGGCGAACUGGAUGGCGAGGCCGGUCAUGGUGCCGGUGGAGAGCGGCUCGAUGCGGGUGACGGCUUUGAUCAGCGCAGCCUUGGUGCGGUGGGUCUUCAGCGACACCUCGUUCUUCACCCGGCUGGCGUAGUUGAUCACGCCCACGCGGGUGGCGUUGGGUCCGACGUUCAGCCCCUCAAUCACCUUAGCCAGGAACACCUUCACCUGCUCAAACUCGGAUGGCCGUACACUGCGGGAGCUGUCCACUAUGAAUACCAGGUCUGUGGGGCGAGUCUUGCACAGGCCGGCAGCUGUAUGGGGAGAGAAGCAGAGAGAGGCUGCUGAGACAGUCUGCAGCUAACAUAGAUGUGAAGUUGAGGUUGGCACACAGCCUCAGUGUAUUUGCUCCCGCUCUCUGUUUGUCUAUCUGCGUUUAAAUACAUAGAGCCUUUCACCAUAUAUGCCCGAGCCAGAGGCCACAAAAACUCUUUAAAACGUGAAUACUCAAGCGCUGCUCCCGUUACAGUCUGUGCCAUUCAUGAUCAGAUCAUGGCAUCGAGGAGGGGUUAGUGGGUCCGCUUUUUUUUUUAGGGCACAGGUUUGAAUCUCAGGUUUGCAACUUAUUCUGUUUACCCUCAAGUUAAACUACCGUGAAUGUGAUAUUUUGAUUGAAUGCCCUUUUGGGCUGAAUGGUGCUCCAGGUCCCACACACUGUAGGCAUUCAACCUGCCCUACUCCCCACCCCACUAGGGACCCCCUAGUUUAUCUUACUUACAGAGUGUGUUAUUCCACCAUGACCAGCGCCAGAAUUCUCAGCACACAUGGACACACACACACACACACACACACACACACCCUAGUUUCAUAGUGAAGGGUCCCUCAGCGCCUGAAUGUAAGCUCAGUCACGGUGGCUCUAGAGAGCCAGGCUGACAGAAGAACAGAAUUUUCAGAUGAAACAUUGUGGGGGAGAGAAGCAAAUUGCAUAUUUGGUUCAGAACCCUCCGUCCCCACCAAAGCAAAACAUCUCGACCCCAAAAAAAAAAAGAACUUAAAGCCAACUGUGUUUGAUGGGGGGAGCACCGAUCCCCCUGGGAGACCAGAGGAACUGUGGUACUCAGCUGCUUGGCAUAGCUGCAGGAACAAAGACAGCAGUGAGGUGCCGUGGAGCAGGAUGCUCCUCACGUAGGCACACCUUCCUGCUGCUGAGCACCACUGGAAACGCUGCUGCCGCUCAAUUGUAUCCACAGCAAUGACAGCUGUCUCUUCUAACCACUAGAAAGAGCAAAUAAACCUGAAAGG